GCUGUGAUGGCCGAGUGGUUAAGGCGUUGGACUCGAAAUCCAAUGGGGUUUCCCUGCACGGGUUCGAAUCCUGUUCACAGCG
rfam:Xenopus tropicalis strain Nigerian Chr03_contig_3513, whole genome shotgun sequence.